UACGAAGGGGGCUAGCGUUGUUCGGAAUCACUGGGCGUAAAGCGCACGUAGGCGGAUUGUUAAGUCGGGGGUGAAAUCCUGAGGCUCAACCUCAGAACUGCCUUCGAUACUGGCGAUCUUGAGUCCGGAAGAGGUUGGUGGAACAGCUAGUGUAGAGGUGAAAUUCGUAGAUAUUAGCUAGAACACCAGUGGCGAAGGCGGCCAACUGGUCCGGAACUGACGCUGAGGUGCGAAAGCGUGGGGAGCAAACAGGG
rnacentral:rRNA from 1 species